AGUGAACGCUGGCGGUAGGCCUAGCACAUGCAAGUCGAACGGCAGCACAGUAAGAGCUUGCUCUUACGGGUGGCGAGUGGCGGACGUGUGAGGAAUACAUCGGAAUCUACUUUUUCGUGGGGGAUAACGUAGGGAAACUUACGCUAAUACCGCAUACGACCUACGGGUGAAAGCAGGGGAUCUUCGGACCUUGCGCGAUUGAAUGAGCCGAUGUCGGAUUAGCUAGUUGGCGGGGUAAAGGCCCACCAAGGCGACGAUCCGUAGCUGGUCUGAGAGGAUGAUCAGCCACACUGGAACUGAGACACGGUCCAGACUCCUACGGGAGGCAGCAGUGGGGAAUAUUGGACAAUGGGCGCAAGCCUGAUCCAGCCAUACCGCGUGGGUGAAGAAGGCCUUCGGGUUGUAAAGCCCUUUUGUUGGGAAAGAAAAGCAGCAGGUUAAUACCCCGCUGUUCUGACGGUACCCAAAGAAUAAGCACCGGCUAACUUCGUG
rnacentral:rRNA from 1 species